GGGAAUUGCAAUCGGAGUGCGGUUGGAAAAACCUCUCUGUUAUUUCAAAGGAGGUGACAGUGGUGGGAAAGGAGUGGCAUCCAUGGAGAUCUGCUGAACAAGUAGGCCAAUAGCUGCUGGGGAAUUACUACUGUGACACUGAGUCUACAGCAAAGACUGACUUCACACUGGGGAAAAGAAAGUGGAGUGGAAAGGGGAUGUUGUCAUUCUGACCCAAAGCAUACCGACAGAAUUUGAACAGAAAGGUGAGAGGCAGAGUGAGACAAGCAGAGAUGCUGUUGAUUUAAUAGAGCCUUGGUGGACCUGAACCUAUCUCUUGCAUUAUUCUAGCAUGCGGCCUGGAGCCACUGAGUCACUGCCCCAGCCUUCCUUCCUGUCUCAACUCAGGGCUGAGCCUCCAGUGCAGGAUGGGAGAUAACCUGCUAAUCGCCAGGCCCAGUGCCCGCAGGACGAUAAAGCUGACACUAUCUGCAUUCUAACAUAUGUCUGUCAAUAAAGUUUAAAUGUCCCACUGACACGUGUGUCAGCGUCUAUCAGCUGUGCUUGUGGUACAUGUGUCUCCACCUCUUUUAGUUAGAAAUUCAUGAGAACUCACAGUGUAUCCUGCAAAUAUGUUUCCUUGUGUUUUUGCUUUAAUUAAGUGAUAAUAAUAAGGUAAUCAAGCAGAUUACAGCUACAUUUUUCAGGCAUUUUUUCACUGACUCUAUUCAGGUCAGAGAAGGGGUGGCAUUUCUGAAUGAAGAUAAUUUGGUAAUCCUCCCAAAUCAGUUAAUUCCUGUAGUGCUGUACAUUUUCACUGUGUGUAAUUUAUCAUGAUGAUGUUUUGAUCUGAUUGUUAUUUUUAAUGUAUGCAAAUAUCUAUUUUAUGCUCUAAUUUUUAGAUUUUUCCACCUGUCAGCUAUGGCUCUGGAAAUAAUGUGAAUUUAGACCGAAAUAAACAAACAGAACAUUCAGCAAUUAAAGCAAUCAUGGAAUUUUUCAAAUACAGUAAUCACACAACAA